AUAAGUGUAUUUUAUUAUAUACCUUGUACCUUUCAUCUCGAAAUAUGGGAGCCUAACAAAUACAGUGAUUUUAUUGAAUAAAUACUCUUACGCCUAGUACAUGAUUCAUAGCAGAUUAAUAGAGGCAAUUAAGUGUAAGAUUAAAUUGCUUAAAACCACUUGCCCUACUAAGCUGAGCCCGGUGCUGAGGACUGUAUCAGCCCCACUAAUUCCCAGCAAUUUUCCUUUGGAAGCAGGUAUUUAAUGAUUUGGAAUAUCAAACCCGUGCUAUCCCAGCCUGGCUGCCUAAUGCCUGUAAUCACGUUAAGGCGCAGCACGAAGCAACUCGCCCGGGGCGCUCCGGUGAGUCACUGGGAGAGGAGAAAGCAGAGCUCCUGCCUGGUGCCUUACAGAGCAGAGCCGGGUCGGUCCGUAGCAGAGCACUCCAUCUCUUGGCUUUCAGGCCAGGAGGUGCCACGUGUCUUCUCGUUCCUCAGCAGUACAUCUAUACCCAGGACUUGUCCUCCAUGAAAGUACGCCAUCCCUUCGCACGCAGAACCCGAGGCGCUUCCAGCACAACAAACACCAGCAAAAAGGUUCUAUUUCGGGGUUUAAAUGCAUUAAAAAUACUGUUUUCAUCGUAGUGUGACUCAUCGGUAAUUCUAUGCUGUUCACGCACAGCUUGCUGUGACCUUCCAUCGCUGAUCCUUCCCUCCAUCUCCUCUUUCUCUUUUUCUGCUCUUUCUCUCCUAUCUUUCCCGUCUUUUUUUUUUUCCUUCUGUUUCUUACGAGUUUGAGCCUCUGUGAAAUCUGUCCAAAUAUUUACAGAAGGAAAUGCUGGGUUGUGAAACUGAAUUCGGAGAAAAUGUUACACAUGCAGAAGAAAUGCAUCCCGCACGCUUUCCAAAUGUUCCCACAUGCAUUUUUGUGCUCUGUCUCAAGGGCUGAGGCUGAUGCUCCGCAUCUCCAUCGAGGCAGAGCUCGCACUGCGGGCACUGAGGCGCAGGCUCUGCUCGGCUCCAACGGUGCCGUCAUGCUGCGUUUGCUGGAACGGUCCAGGGCUCAUUUUGGCCAUGGAAGCUGCGGGCAGUCCUCUUCCCCUUGCAAACAUCAGGAGAUCCGCAGUCCACGAGCAAAGCCAGUGAGGUUCUGGACCUGUCGAGAUGACGACGGCGCUCAGCGUCACUGAGGGGGUUUCCCAAGAUGAGCAGAAUCUCAUAAGUGGAGGAUCACACUCAAGGGCCUCUCAGGUCAUCACAGACAUGUAAAUAUUUUGGCAGAGCAACAUGGGAACAUCUUCAGCGUCUCUGAAAGAGCAGUGCAGCGCUGGCACAGCUGCCCAGGGAGGCGGUGCAGUCACCAUCCCUGGAGGUGUUCAAGAACCGUGGUGAUGUGGCACUGAGGGACGUGGUCAGUGGGCACGGUGGGACGGGUUGGUGGUUGGACCUCAUGAUCUUUUCCAACCUUAAUGAUUGUGUGAUUCUAUGGGAACAGCUGAAGCCCAGGAACAGCAAAGGCUCGGGAUAACACCAACCACGGGUCCCACCUGCUGAGAAAAAGCAUCGCCCACAUCCCAGUUCGGGUGCAGCCUCGUGCUGCUGCUGCUAUUAUUACCCUCACAAUGGCAUUGUGGCCUGAGAGCAAACAUGGAUUUCUUUUGGAGGAAGGGGUUAAUUCUGUGUUUCCUGGCUUUUGUUAAGACAGGAAAUCAAACCCUUAAGAAAGUCACUCAGGUCAGGCUGAGCUCCUAAAAGCCUCUUUGGUCCUGGUUUGUAUUUUCC
ensembl:lncRNA